rnacentral:rRNA from 1 species
AGAGUUUGAUCAUGGCUCAGGAUUAAUGCUGGUGGUAUGCAUAACACAUGCAAGUCGAACGAGUGGAACUUGUUCUACUAGUGGCGAACGGGCGAGUAAUACAUAUUUAACUUACUUUUACGAGGAGGAUAGCAGCUCGAAAGGGCUAUUAAUACUCCAUAGGUUUAUAAAUUAAAUUAAAGAGACUCCUCUGGGGCCUUGCGUAAAACUAGGAAUAUGUCCUAUUAGGUAGUUGGCGGGGUAAAGGCCCACCAAGCCAAUGAUGGGUAGCUGGACUGAGAGGUUGAACAGCCGCAAUGGGAUUGAGAUAUGGCCCAUAUUCCUACGGGAAGCAGCAGUGAGGAAUUUUUCACAAUGGACGAAAGUCUGAUGGAGCAAUACCACGUGAACGAUGAAGGUCUUCUGAUUGUAAAGUUCUUUUAUUUAGGAAAAAAAGCGUGCUAGGAAAUGAGCGCGCCUUGAUGGUACUAAUUGAAUAAGUGACAGCUAACUAUGUGCCAGCAGCUGCGGUAAAACAUAAGUCACGAGCAUUAUCCGGAUUUAUUGGGCGUAAAGGAAGCGUAGGCGGGGAGGUUGAUCCAUUGUUAAAAGCAUUUGCUUAACAAAUGUGUGCAUUGGAGAUCGCCUCCCUAGAGUUAAUCAGGGGGUACUGGAAUUCAAUGUGUAGCGGUGGAAUGCGUAGAUAUAUUGAGGAACACCAGAGGCUAAGGCGAGUGCCUAGGAUAUAACUGACGCUGAGGCUUGAAAGC